CAGCAGCCACGGUAAUACGGGGGGGGCAAGUGUUAUUCGGAAUGACUGGGCGUAAAGGGCACGUAGGCGGUGAAAAGGGUGGAAAGUGAAAGUCGCCAAAACACUGGCGGGGUGCUUUCUUGACCAUUUCACUUGAGUGAGAUAGGGGAGAGUGGAAUUUCGUGUGGAGGGAUCAAAUCCUAAGAUAUACGAAGGAACGCCAACCGCGAAGGCAGCUCUCUGGGUCCCCACUGACGCUGGGGUGCGAAAGCAUGGGGAGCAAACAGGAUCAGAUACCCCGGUAGUCCCUGUCUCUUAUACA
rnacentral:rRNA from 1 species